GCGAACGGGUGAGUAACACGUGGGCAAUCUGCCCUUCACUCUGGGACAAGCCCUGGAAACGGGGUCUAAUACCGGAUAACACUCUGUCCCGCAUGGGACGGGGUUGAAAGCUCCGGCGGUGAAGGAUGAGCCCGCGGCCUAUCAGCUUGUUGGUGGGGUGAUGGCCUACCAAGGCGACGACGGGUAGCCGGCCUGAGAGGGCGACCGGCCACACUGGGACUGAGACACGGCCCAGACUCCUACGGGAGGCAGCAGUGGGGAAUAUUGCACAAUGGGCGAAAGCCUGAUGCAGCGACGCCGCGUGAGGGAUGACGGCCUUCGGGUUGUAAACCUCUUUCAGCAGGGAAGAAGCGAGAGUGACGGUACCUGCAGAAGAAGCGCCGGCUAACUACGUGCCAGCAGCCGCGGUAAUACGUAGGGCGCAAGCGUUGUCCGGAAUUAUUGGGCGUAAAGAGCUCGUAGGCGGCUUGUUGCGUCGGUUGUGAAAGCCCGGGGCUUAACCCCGGGUCUGCAGUCGAUACGGGCAGGCUAGAGUGUGGUAGGGGAGAUCGGAAUUCCUGGUGUAGCGGUGAAAUGCGCAGAUAUCAGGAGGAACACCGGUGGCGAAGGCGGAUCUCUGGGCCAUUACUGACGCUGAGGAGCGAAAGCGUGGGGAGCGAACAGGAUUAGAUACCCUGGUAGUCCA
rnacentral:rRNA from 1 species